rnacentral:misc_RNA from 1 species
GAAAUGCGAUAAGUAAUGUGAAUUGCAGAAUUCAGUGAAUCAUCGAAUCUUUAAACGCACAUUGCGCCCGCCAGCACUCUGGCGGGCAUGCCUGUUCGAGCGUCAUUUCAACCCUCAGAACCCCUUGCGGGAUCUGGCGUUGGGGAUUGGCAUCCAGCCAGCCCCGAAAUCUAGUGGCGGUCCCUCCGCGACCUCCCCUGUGCAGUAGCGAUACCUCGCAGCGGGACAGCGGUCUGACCACGCCGUAAAACCCCCAACUUCUCAAGGUUGACCUCGAAUCAGGUAGGAAUACCCGCUGAACUCAAGC